GUGAGGCCAGGCAGAAAUGGCUUGGCAGAGGACCCAGCGAGCCCAGAGGGAUUUUGCCGCUGCUUCCUCUACCCCUGUAUUUCACUCAGCUCUCUAAAUUGACUCAGCUCCAGGCUAGUGUGAGAAACACCAACGGCAGGCCCAUCUCAGAUCUUCACUAUGGCAACUUAUGCAAGAAACUGUUGAAUUAGACCCGUUUCCUAUAGAUGAGAAACCAUACAAGCUGUGGUAUUUAUGAGCCUCCAUUUCUUAUACUACUGCAGUGAACCAACAUUGGAUGUGAAAAUUGCCUUUUGUCAGGGAUUCGAUAAACAAGUGGAUGUGUCAUAUAUUGCCAAACAUUACAACAUGAGCAAAAGCAAAGUUGACAACCAGUUCUACAGUGUGGAAGUGGGAGACUCAACCUUCACAGUUCUCAAGCGCUACCAGAAUCUAAAGCCUAUUGGCUCUGGGGCUCAGGGCAUAGUUUGGUCUCAAGAAAGCACCAACCUGUGAGCCAAAGGAGCCAUCUUAAUGUCUUUAGGUCAUUAAUUUUAGACAUAGCAUAUUCUUUACUACAAGGCUACUUUGAGAGUCACUGUGUCACUGUUGGGCUUCUGGCAUAAAUAAAGUUAACAUAAUAUACUCAAUAAACUCUUUCACUGCUUAGCUAACUCCAACAUCAUCCAGACACUGAUGCUCAUCCAAGUUGCCAUGUAGAUUUAUAAGAAGACUCUUGUUAAGAUAAAAUAACUAAACAUAAAUAAUACUUUAAAUUUUGUUGCCAUGAAAUGGCCAAAGGUAGGAAUGUAGCAGUAACCCCGGAAGAGCAGUCCUUGGUUCUGACUCUUUUUCUUGGGGGAGUGACAUGUAAAAGCCUCUUCAACCAGAAGCACAGUGCCCUUGAGCAGCAAGGGAGCAUAUCACUUAUAUCUAAAAGGGAAUAUUUUGUCAAUGAAAGUACAUGCUAAAAUAUAUUAUAUUGAUGGUCGUAAAAAUAAUGUUAUUAGAAAUUGUUUUAAACAAACAUUUUUGAAAAUGAAAAUAAAAAUACAGUUAAUAUUUUAUAACUUAUAUGAAUUGCCUAAUUUUUUUAAUGAGAAGAAUAAUUACUGUGGUACAUCUCAUGUAUAUUAAUCUGCUGAAAUUUCUGAUAUUUUUUUGAAGUCAACUUUUUAAUAUGAAUUUAUUAUUCUUAAGUUGUAAUGAAACUUCUGGGAAUCUUCAAAAUUGCUUGUUAUGGUUAAUAAAUUUGAAAUAUUGACACAUUUAAUAUAUAUAACAAUAUUUUUAUUUGAAAAAUAUUCUCAAAAGGGGCUUAGGUAUCUGCUAAGAACAAAUUUUGCUAAAUUGAAAAUAUUCUCUUUAUUAAUUGAAAAUAUUCUUAAUUCUAAUGUAUUUUUGUAUUGUAAUGUAAAAGUAUUUGAGUCCAAGGUUUUUCACAGACACUGAGCUUUCCCCCCUUCAUUUAGUGUUCCAUUAUCCAAGAAAUAAUUUCAUAAUACCACACUUGCCAAAUAGAUUGCCUAAAUUUAUGGCUUUUUUAAUGGUUUGCCAAAUUUAGAUGCAGAAAAAUUAUAGGCCUUUAAAAUCAUAUUUCAAUCCUGCACAGAAUAUAAAUAUUUGGAAAUUAGAAAUUACACCAGGUGCCAUAAAGAAUAUAAAUAGAUCAUACAAUUCAGAACUUUAUCUAAAGACUGUUCUCACAAAUUAAGAUAUUCUAAAGUAUGAUUAUGGAAUUUCAAAAUCAAAUCUUAUCCUCUCUUUGAGAAUGCAUUAUUUCAUUUGAUUUGUUCAGUUAAUUUCUUGCUUUAGUCCAUUUCAGCACAUUCUUGUGGGCUUCAAGUUGCAAGUUUUGUUUAUAAUAAUAGCUAUUCCUUAAAAGUUUCAAGAGCUGAAUACUGGGAUGCUCCAUUUGUGAAAUACUAUGAUUACACAUUUCCAAGUAAUUUUGCAAAAAAAAAGCACCCAAAGUUUAGAGGACUUAUGUAUAAAAAGUUAUUUUUCAAUAGUAAGUAUGAGAAAUGCCAAGAAAAUAUGCCGAUUGCUAUGUUAAAGUAUUUUCAUUUUUUUAAUUCAAUAUCAGCUUUGUCUCCAAAAUUU
rnacentral:sRNA from 1 species